UACGUAGGGUGCAAGCGUUAAUCGGAAUUACUGGGCGUAAAGCGUGCGCAGGCGGUUCGCUAAGACAGAUGUGAAAUCCCCGGGCUUAACCUGGGAACUGCAUUUGUGACUGGCGGGCUAGAGUAUGGCAGAGGGGGGUAGAAUUCCACGUGUAGCAGUGAAAUGCGUAGAGAUGUGGAGGAAUACCGAUGGCGAAGGCAGCCCCCUGGGCCAAUACUGACGCUCAUGCACGAA
rnacentral:rRNA from 1 species